AGUGAACGCUGGCGGUAGGCCUAACACAUGCAAGUCGAACGGCAGCACAGUAAGAGCUUGCUCUUACGGGUGGCGAGUGGCGGACGGGUGAGGAAUACAUCGGACUCUACUUUUUCGUGGGGGAUCACGUAGGGAAACUUACGCUAAUACCGCAUACGACCUACGGGUGAAAGCAGGGGAUCUUCGGACCUUGCGCGUUUGAAUGAGCCGAUGUCGGAUUAGCUAGUUGGCGGGGUAAAGGCCCACCAAGGCGACGAUCCGUAGCUGGUCUGAGAGGAUGAUCAGCCACACUGGAACUGAGACACGGUCCAGACUCCUACGGGAGGCAGCAGUGGGGAAUAUUGGACAAUGGGCGCAAGCCUGAUCCAGCCAUACCGCGUGGGUGAAGAAGGCCUUCGGGUUGUAAAGCCCUUUUGUUGGGAAAGAAAAGCAGCAGGUUAAUACCCCGCGGUUCUGACGGUACCCAAAGAAUAAGCACCGGCUAACUUCGUG
rnacentral:rRNA from 1 species